AGUAUCAUUUAAAUUUAAUUACAUAUCUUAUCAAAUAUAAAAAAAUAUUUUUUGGAUUAAUAAAAUUGAUUUAUAUGUUCACACCAAUUUAAUUAUAUAUCUAAUAGUUACCGACUUUUAAUUAUUCAAUAUAUAUUUAUUAUUUUAUAAUAUGUAAAAAUAUUUAAUACAUAAAAUAAUUUUUAUAUAUAAUGUUCAUCCCGCGCAAGGCGCAUGUCUUAACCUAACCUAGUAAGGUAAUUAAAAGAGGAUUAGUUUGUUGAUUUUUUUUUUCGCGCUGAAUUAGUUAAAAAUACAACAAGCAUGACAUUUGAGACCAUCCGGUUUUGUUUACUGAAAAUGUCUAUUUUUUAUUUGCUUCAUUUGUUGAGUUUGUCUCUUUGGUUUAAGUCUGUAAGCAUGUAUUGAUUAAAUAAAAUACAAAUAUACAGAUCCAAUUUUUAAAUAUUUUGGGCCGAAAACCCAAAAACUACAAAAAUAAAGAAAAUGGGUUAAAUGGUUAAGAAAUUCGAACCCUUUACCUUUCUAAGUAUAUGUUAGUCAGUAACCAACUGAAUUAUUUGAAAUAUAACAAACUAAUGUUUGGUUUUUAAAAAACACUGACAUUUUAUGGGGAAAUUUUACUUUUACACUUUAUUUGAUACCACUAUUCACUUUACCACCAAUUUAGGGACAUUUUCAUUUUAAUGAACAAAAGACAAUAGUACCCCUUACCUUAUCUUCUCCUCAAUCAUCGACUUUUCCUCUCUCUUUUCGAGAUUCAUCUUCUCUCGGACUUACCGUCGAGAUCCGCCGUCUCCGUCGAAAUCCACCGUCUCCGUCGAGAUCCGCUGUCUCCGUCGAGAUCCCACAUCUCUCUCUCUCACGCAACCGGCGACGAAAGCGGAUUACAGAGAAUCGCGACUCAAAGCCUUCAAAUGUUGAUUCCUGUUCAAGAUUCACAACUCUUAGAUAGCAAUGAAUCUUGCACAUCUUCAUGAUUGCCUCCAAGGAUUUAUGAAGUUGGAACAGAACCACUAGACAAUCCAAAAGUGAUUAUCCAAUCGGUGUCUUGGUCAAUAAUGUUAAGUGUUUUAUAAAAGAUUAUAAAUGUAGUUUUAUAGGUGUUUAUAAAUUUAUAAAUUAGAGAGACUUAUAAUAUGUUGUUUAUUCUUUGUUACAUCUUGUUGUUAAUAUAUUAUUUGGA